CAAAAUGUAGCUUAAAACAAAGCAUCCAACUUACAAUUGGAAGACGCCGCUAACACCGACCUUUUUGA
rnacentral:tRNA from 1 species